rnacentral:lncRNA from 1 species
AAUCCAUCUUCCAUCGCAAAUGGUAAGUGACGAUCUAAUUUACUAAAAAUGUAAUAUAAUUACUUAAAUAACAGCUUAAAACGGACGUGUCUUUAGUUUUAGUCGAUAAAUCGCUCGUCAUAUGAUAUUGCCGCAUUCAUCCGUUGACAACGUUAUGUGCUAUUUAACGUUAGUGACACGGCAGAAUUUCGAUGUAUUUAAUUUAAUGAUAAAUAUUCUUCCAUUUUAUCCUGAGGAAAUACGUAAAAAAGUUUUCAUAUCUUUUUCCAUUGACAUCGGCAAUAUCCGAAAAGGCGGGAUGACGUUUUCAUCCGCAAACUGUUAUCGGCUUUAUAAACGGACGUUAGGCCUAAACUUUACUGGAAAUUUGACGUGUUCGAUUGUUUCGGUUAAGAAAUUACGAAAUGACAACUAACAGAAAGAAUGCGACUGUGCAAUGUUUACCGAGGGUGCAAGAUAGCACCAGAAAAUGCCGGUAGUUGCAUAUGCCUGUUGGCAAAUAUUUUCGAAUUUGAAAUGUCCGAUGGAUUACGUCAUAUGUGACGUUUUUAAUCGCUGCAUUAAGACCUUCCGGUUGAAUAUGGGAAGGGAUGUUGAUACUACUAAAAAAUAUUUUUUUUAUUUUUUUAAUCUGAAAAAAAGGUUUUUGAUCUAUCUAGCGCGAAAUAAUUGUAAGUAAUUAUAUUAAUUUUGAAAUUUUGUCUUGUUCCUGACUUUUAUUUUUUACAUUUUUCAAAUUUAUUAUUUUAUUUCAGGC